GAAUCUUUGGAAAUACUUGGACGAGGUAAUAUACAAAAUUGGCAGACAGGUAUUUCAGUUCAAUCCUUCAAUACAAUCUAAUAAACGAAUGUUUGACAGUGAUUUCUAGCUCAAAUACACAAGUUAUAUUCCCCUUUAUAAGUCCUAGAGAGCAUGCCCUAGUUACGCAUUUCUGUCUACAUUCAAUAACUAUGUUUUAUCUCUUUGCUCUAUUAAGAAAUCUGUUAUUACUCGAACAUAAAUGAAAGGAAUAUCUCUCAGGCCUGUGAAUUUGUGCUUAAUUUUUACUACCUGAUUAUGACAUUGCAGUUCAAUUGGAUGGCCAAUUAUUUAGUACUUAGUAGAGGGAACUAAGACAAUGUAUAACAUAUCAACAUGUAUUUAGACACAUCUGCAUUCAGAGCAAGGAAGAUCAGCAAGUGAGACAAAACUACUUCUCCACUAAGGUAGGAUUGUGUCACCUAUACCACUGAACCUUGUAUUGGUAGAAGUUGUACUAAAGCAUUGCUCAAGUCAGUAUUUUGUUUAAAUCAUCUGAAAACUUCAAAAGUUGUUCCUUGAGUCUUAUGAGAUGGUGUGGCUACUUGUUUUCGAACAUAUGAGAGCUUAAAGAAAGACAUUAGGGUGUCGGUUGGUUGUGGUAAAACAAGAAGAUACCAGUACUUUAUGCACUCUUCUGCAAGAAGUGUGUGUCAUUAGAUUCACCUAUCCAAAAAUUCAAAUAUGAAGUGCCAAAGCUGAUCUAUUUCAUUCGCACAUAAGCAUUCCCCUAAAAGAUGUUAAGAAAAUUGAUGUAUCAUUUAUUUUUCCAGUGUUCUGAUUUAGAAGGAAUUCCGCGACAAUUUAGAGGCUAAGCUCUUAUAGUAUAAUCCAGGCGUUUUGCAGCUUUGUAGUCCUUGCCUUAGUAAAGCACCGUAAUAUUAUUGACAAUUCAUUCCAGUGAUGAUAUAAGUUCAAGAGUUAUAUUCUUGACGAUACGGGAUCCACCUCUUUUGUCUUUCUCACUUACAGCAGCAUAAUAGAUUCGUGUCCUUACAAAAUCCUGCAACAUAUUCUGCUGAUGCACUAGUUUCACAUGUUAGUGAAAUACAUUUUGGGGCAGAAGAUAUCUCUUUUGGUCAUAAAAUUUCCUUUCAAAGUUGAUACUCCUCCAUUUGUCAAAGGCCAUUAUCAAAACAGAACUUGAACUACCACAUUCUUUCAUUGCUCAAAUGCACAAUGGAAAACCCUACUUUACUCCUCAUUUCUAAAUUGCAAGGAGAUUCCUCUUGAAUAUAUAUUUUUUUUGUUUUUUCAGCAUCACAAUGUCUGGCUUGGUCAUCUACCCGCAAAAUAUAAGCACAAGACUUGUACAAGUGGCUUUUAGUAGAUAAUCUUCUACUACUUUUCGUUGGCUUCAUAAGCUUCAGAUGCAUACAGAGUUCAGGUACUCAAGGGAAUUAUUACAUAGAAUUCUGAUAGUCAGUCAUAGGCACAAUUUAACAGCAGACUGUGCAUCUACUUUUCCAAUUCUAUCAAUGUCUUAGACAAUCUGCUUGUGUUUUAAUAUGCUCAUGAUGUUGUUUUGUUUUACUUAAACCAAGAUUGAAUUCAAAUGGGGAUAUACCUCUCCAAAUGGACCUGAUAACUUCCCAAGUAAA
rnacentral:lncRNA from 1 species